rnacentral:rRNA from 1 species
GAUGAACGCUGGCGGCGUGCCUAAUACAUGCAAGUCGAGCGAACAGACGAGGAGCUUGCUCCUCUGACGUUAGCGGCGGACGGGUGAGUAACACGUGGAUAACCUACCUAUAAGACUGGGAUAACUUCGGGAAACCGGAGCUAAUACCGGAUAAUAUAUUGAACCGCAUGGUUCAAUAGUGAAAGACGGUUUUGCUGUCACUUAUAGAUGGAUCCGCGCCGCAUUAGCUAGUUGGUAAGGUAACGGCUUACCAAGGCGACGAUGCGUAGCCGACCUGGGAGGCUGCUCGGCCACACUGGAACUGAGACACGGUCCAGACUCCUACGGGAGGCCGCAGUAGGGAACCUUCCGCAAUGGGCGACAGCCUGGCGGAGCAACGGCGCGUGAGUGAUGAAGGUCUUCGGAUCGUAAAACUCUGUUAUUAGUGAAGACCAAAUGUGUAAGUAACUAUGCACGUCUUGACGGUACCUAAUCAGAAAGCCACGGCUAACUACGUG